rnacentral:rRNA from 1 species
AGGGUUUGAUCCUGGCUCAGAACGAACGGUGGCGGUGUGCCUAUUACAUGCAAGUCGAGCGUUUACCGACUUCGGUCGGGAAAGCGGCGGAUGGGUGAGUAAUGUAUAGAUAACCUGCCCUCGAGUGGGGGAUAGCAGUUCGAAAGGACUGGUAAUACCGCGUAAAAUUGACCAGUUGCAUGAUUGGUUAAUGAAAGUGGGGGACCUUCGGGCCUCACGCUUGAGGAGGGGUCUAUAUCCUAUUAGUUAGUUGGUGGGGUAAUAGCCUACCAAGGCAAUGAUGGGUAGCCGGCCUGAGAGGGUGAUCGGCCACAUGGGCACUGAGACACGGGCCCGACUCCUACGGGAGGCAGCAGUAAGGAAUAUUGGGCAAUGGGCGAAAGCCUGACCCAGCGACACCGCGUGGAUGAUGAAGGCCUUCGGGUUGUAAAGUCCUAACACGUAUUAAGAAGGUGUUAGGUGUUAAUACCAUUUAGCAUUAGACAAAGGUACGAGAUGAAGUCAUGGCUAACUCUGUGCCGGCAGCCGCGGUAAUACAGAGAUGGCGACCGUUGUUCGGAAUUACUGGGCUUAAAGAGCACGUAGGCGGAAUUGCAAGUUGAUUGUGAAAUCCCAUGGCUUACCCAUGGAAUUGCAGUCAAUACUGUUUUUCUUGAGUACGGUAGGGGGGAGUGGAACUCCUGGUGGAGCGGUGAAAUGUGUUGAUAUCAGGAGGAACGCCGGAGGCGAAAGCGACUCUCUGGGCCGUUACUGACGCUGAGGUGCGAAAGCUAGGGGAGCAAACGGGAUUAGAUACCCCGGUAGUCCUAGCUGUAAACGAUGAGCACUAGGUGGGGGGAGAAAUUUCUCUGCUGAAGCAAAAGUAUUAAGUGCUCCGCCUGGGGAGUAUGGUCGCAAGGCUGAAACUCAAAGGAAUUGACGGGGGCUCGCACAAGCGGUGGAGCAUGUGUGUUUAAUUCGAAUCAACGCGAAGAACCUUACCUGGGCUUGACAUCCUAGUAUUAGCCGCCUGAAAGGGUGGUGACGCUCUUUGGAGUGGAACUAGGACAGGUGUUGCAUGGCUGUCGUCAGCUCGUGCCGUGAGGUGUUGGGUUAAGUCCCAUAACGAGCGAAACCUUUAUCCUUAGUUGCCAACGUUUAAGGCGGGGACUCUAGGGAGACUGCAUACGUUAAGUGUGAGGAAGGUGGAGACGACGUCAAGUCAUCAUGGCCCUUAUGCCCAGGGCUACACACGUGCUACAAUGGUCGGGACAAAGGGAAGCAAAACCGUAAGGCGGAGCGAAUCCCAAAAACCUGAUCUCAGUUCGGAUUGAGGGCUGCAAUUCGCCCUCAUGAAGUUGGAAUCGCUAGUAAUCGUGGGUCAGCCAUACCACGGUGAAUGUGUUCCCGAGCCUUGUACACACCGCCCGUCCAGCCACCGAAGCAGGGGUAGCCUGAAGUCACUGACCUAACCACGCAAGUGGAGGGAGGUGCCCAAGGAAGCUUCUGUGACGGGGACUAAGUCGAAACAAGGU